GUCUUAGCAGGCGAUUCUUCCACGGCGCUCGAAGCGCGUCGUGGUAUUUCGCGUAUUGUAAUUUCAACACGAGCGGGGUCAAAUCCUUUGCAGACGACUUAGCUGUGCGAAACGGUCCUGUAAGCAGUAGAGUAGCCUUGUUGUUACGAUCUGCUGAGGGUAAGCCGUCCUUCGCCUCGAUUU
rnacentral:rRNA from 2 species